rnacentral:tRNA from 1 species
UCCCCGAUAGCUCAAUUGGCAGAGCAUCCGGCUGUUAACUGGAGGGUUAUAGGUUCGAGUCCUAUUCGGGGAG